rnacentral:rRNA from 1 species
AGAGUUUGAUCCUGGCUCAGAUUGAACGCUGGCGGCGUGCCUAACACAUGCAAGUCGAGCGGAGUAUGCGAGAUGUUUACAUCGGACAUCCUUAGCGGCGGACGGGUGAGUAACACGUGGGUAACCUGCCUCAAAGUGGGGGAUAGCCUUUCGAAAGGAAGAUUAAUACCGCAUAAGCCUGCAGCACCGCAUGGUGCAGCAGGAAAAGGAGCAAUCCGCUUUGAGAUGGACCCGCGGCGCAUUAGCUAGUUGGUGAGGUAACGGCUCACCAAGGCCACGAUGCGUAGCCGACCUGAGAGGGUGAUCGGCCACAUUGGAACUGAGACACGGUCCAGACUCCUACGGGAGGCAGCAGUGGGGAAUAUUGCACAAUGGGCGAAAGCCUGAUGCAGCAACGCCGCGUGAGUGAUGAAGGCCUUCGGGUCGUAAAGCUCUUUGAUCAGGGAUGAUAAUGACAGUACCUGAAAAACAAGCCACGGCUAACUACGUGCCAGCAGCCGCGGUAAUACGUAGGUGGCGAGCGUUGUCCGGAAUUACUGGGCGUAAAGGAUGCGUAGGUGGAUAUUUAAGUGGGAUGUGAAAUCCCCGGGCUCAACCCGGGAACUGCAUUCCAAACUGGAUGUCUAGAGUGCAGGAGAGGAAAGCGGAAUUCCUAGUGUAGCGGUGAAAUGCGUAGAUAUUAGGAGGAACACCAGUGGCG